UAUGACAGUUUGAGGGAGAAGAAGGCAAAGUUAAUGGGUUGAACUUUGAAGGACUCUGAAUUGUGGCUCUCGAUGGUGGAACUCUGCCUGCCAGCAAGACAGAUAUUCAAUUGAAGGUGUUCCAAUCUCAAGUUCUCAACAAUUCAAGAAUUCUUACAAUUAAGGCUUAGAAGUUAGAACUGGAGCAACGUAGGAGCACUGCAGUUGGUCGGUUGAGAGGGAAAAUGCUUUUAAUCAAGGAAUGGAGUCAACAUUGACGAAUCUCAGCUCUACACAAGCUGAUGCAUAGCAGGCAACAGCCAACAUCAAACUUUGACUCUUUGAGUGAGGCAGGGAGCACAACAAGCAAGUAUGAAGUGACGAUGAGAUGAAAUUUGAGUCUUUGAAAGUUUGAAUACUUUGUUUUCAACUGUUGUCCGCUUUGUUAUUGUAUGAUUCAUUCAUUUGUGUGAACUGUAAGUGAUGAUAUGAAUUAUGAAGUGAUGAUAAGAUGAAGUGAUGAACUGUAAGUGAUGAUAUGAACUAUGAAGUGUUGAACUGA